rnacentral:rRNA from 1 species
UACGGGGGGAGCAAGCGUUGUUCGGAAUUACUGGGCGUAAAGGGCUCGUAGGCGGCCAACUAAGUCGGACGUGAAAUCCCUCAGCUUAACUGGGGAACUGCGUCCGAUACUGGAUGGCUUGGAUUUGGGAGAGGGAUGCGGAAUUCCAGGUGUAGCGGUGAAAUGCGUAGAUAUCUGGAGGAAUACCGGUGGCGAAGGCGGCAUCCUGGACCGGCAUUGACGCUGAGGAGCGAAAGCUAGGGGAGCAAACGGG